GGAACCUCUGCAAGUCCCUCAAAGCUCCCAGAGUCAGUGCUGAGGUCAAUUAAUGAGGUCAAACAGUGGGUUUUUCAUGUAUGCCUCCUCACCAAAUGCACUUUGGAUAUUAAAUAAACAAAGGGAGCACUUCAGUUCAGUGUGGAGUCAUCCCUCUUGGACAGAAAUGAGUGAAGGGGGUUGCUGCAGCUGAAAUAACCCCCCAGGCUCCUCUAGGAAUGGAGACACUGUGAGGAGCAAUCCUUCCAACCAGGGGGGACAUGGAUUUCAAGCCAGGAAUUGUCAGCAGGGCCUGACAGCCCACGGAAUCAAAGACCUGUUUUCUUCUUGGUGAUGACUGAGGUCAAAAGGCUCCAGGCUCCUUCUGCAGUGGGACCUGGACCUUCUGUGCUCCAGGGAAAUGCUCCUGCUGCCAACUUGUCACCUGCUGAGAUGUGUGACCUCGCUGAUGAUCUUAUCUUGGUGCUUUUCCACUCCCCUUAACUGAGCCUUGCAGCAGGGACUGCCUGUGCUGAACACCCAAACUGUCACUGCCUCUUCCCAGGCACAAUCCCCAACUUUUCUGGUCUCUCAGUGGGGGGAAAAAAAAGCAAACCCCACCAAACAAAUGACUCACUAACAAGCCAACC